GAUCCUGCCAGAGGCCAUUGCUAUCGGAGUCCGAUUUAGCCAUGCUAGUUGUGCGGGUUUAGACCCGCAGCGGAAAGCUCAGUAACACGUGGCCAAGCUACCCUGUGGACGGGAAUACUCUCGGGAAACUGAGGCUAAUCCCCGAUAACGCUUUGCUCCUGGAAGGGGCAAAGCCGGAAACGCUCCGGCGCCACAGGAUGCGGCUGCGGUCGAUUAGGUAGACGGUGGGGUAACGGCCCACCGUGCCCAUAAUCGGUACGGGUUGUGAGAGCAAGAGCCCGGAGACGGAAUCUGAGACAAGAUUCCGGGCCCUACGGGGCGCAGCAGGCGCGAAACCUUUACACUGUACGAAAGUGCGAUAAGGGGACUCCGAGUGUGAAGGCAUAGAGCCUUCACUUUUGUACACCGUAAGGUGGUGCACGAAUAAGGACUGGGCAAGACCGGUGCCAGCCGCCGCGGUAAUACCGGCAGUCCGAGUGAUGGCCGAUCUUAUUGGGCCUAAAGCGUCCGUAGCUGGCUGAACAAGUCCGUUGGGAAAUCUGUCCGCUUAACGGGCAGGCGUCCAGCGGAAACUGUUCAGCUUGGGACCGGAAGACCUGAGGGGUACGUCUGGGGUAGGAGUGAAAUCCUGUAAUCCUGGACGGACCCCCCGGUGGCGAAAAGCGCCCUCAGGGAGAACGGGAUCCCGACA
rnacentral:rRNA from 1 species